rnacentral:rRNA from 1 species
GAUGGACGCUGGCGGCGUGCCUAAUACAUGCAAGUCGAGCGAACAGACGAGGAGCUUGCUCCUCUGACGUUAGCGGCGGACGGGUGAGUAACACGUGGAUAACCUACCUAUAAGACUGGGAUAACUUCGGGAAACCGGAGCUAAUACCGGAUAAUAUAUUGAACCGCAUGGUUCAAUAGUGAAGGACGGUUUUGCUGUCACUUAUAGAUGGAUCCGCGCCGCAUUAGCUAGUUGGUAAGGUAACGGCUUACCAAGGCAACGAUGCGUAGCCGACCUGAGAGGGUGAUCGGCCACACUGGAACUGAGACACGGUCCAGACUCCUACGGGAGGCAGCAGUAGGGAAUCUUCCGCAAUGGGCGAAAGCCUGACGGAGCAACGCCGCGUGAGUGAUGAAGGUCUUCGGAUCGUAAAACUCUGUUAUUAGGGAAGAACAAAUGUGUAAGUAACUAUGCACGUCUUGACGGUACCUAAUCAGAAAGCCACGGCUAACUACGUG